CGCAAAAUGGGUCCAAAACGCUGAAUAUCUGUAAAAGUGUGAUUUUUGAAAAAAACAAAUUAAAAUCAGUAUUAAAUGCUCAAAGUUUUUGACUGUAAAUAAAUCAGUUUCAAAAAUUUUAAGAAUUUUCUGGAACUCCUUUUUUCCAAAACUACAGUAAUCCCUCAGUACAGUGUUCAUCUACUAUCCUCAAUUUGUCUUACUAUAUUCAAAAUCUCUAAUUUC
ensembl:ncRNA B0303.17 ncRNA